rnacentral:rRNA from 1 species
AGAGGCUGUCGCUGGCCCCCUCUUGGGGGGUAAAGUGCACGUCUCUUCCUUUAU